rnacentral:rRNA from 1 species
CCUACGGGUGGCAGCAGUGAGGAAUAUUGGUCAAUGGGCGGAAGCCUGAACCAGCCAAGUAGCGUGCGGGAUGAAGGCCCUACGGGUCGUAAACCGCUUUUGCACGGGGAUAACACCCUCCACUUGUGGAUGUCUGCAUGUACCGUGCGAAUAAGGGCCGGCUAAUUCCGUGCCAGCAGCCGCGGUAAUACGGAAGGCCCGAGCGUUAUCCGGAUUAAUUGGGCUUAAAGGGAGCGUAGGGGGGCGUUCAAGUCAGCUGUAAAAUCGCGCGGCUCAACCGCGCACCGCAGUUGAUACUGGAAGCCUUGAGUUCACAAGAGGCAGGCGGAAUUCGUGGUGUAGCGGUGAAAUGCAUAGAUAUCACGAGGAACCCCGAUUGCGAAGGCAGCCUGCCGGGGUGCGACUGACGCUGAGGCUCGAAGGUGCGGAUAUCAAACAGGAUUAGAUACCCCUGUAGUC